CAGUCGCCACGGUAAUACGUAGGGUGCAAGCGUUAAUCGGAAUUACUGGGCGUAAAGCGUGCGCAGGCGGUUUGUUAAGACAGAUGUGAAAUCCCCGGGCUCAACCUGGGAACUGCAUUUGUGACUGGCAAGCUAGAGUCUGGCAGAGGGGGGUGGAAUUCCGCGUGUAGCAGUGAAAUGCGUAGAUAUGCGGAGGAACACCGAUGGCGAAGGCAGCCCCCUGGGCCAACACUGACGCUCAUGCACGAAAGCGUGGGGAGCAAACAGGAUUAGAUACCCCCGUAGUCCCUGUCUCUUAUAA
rnacentral:rRNA from 1 species